rnacentral:piRNA from 1 species
UCCCCAAGAAGAUCAGGACUGCUGAAAGA